UCGGGAAAAUCCCCUGGAGAAGGAAAUGACAACCUACCCCAGUUUUCUUGCCUGGGAAAUCCCAUGGACAGAGGAGCCUGGCGGGCUACAGUCCCUGGGGAAGCUGAGUCAGACACGACUAAAAUGCAAUGCAGUGCAACAGACAGGGACCCAAGCAUUGGGAGGGGAGAGAAAGGAGCUGAGAGAAGAGCUGGUGGGAGGUGGGGGGCGGGGGGCGUGGAGGUGGGCAGGGACAGGAAGCAGCCAGGGGAAGGAAAUAUCUAGGGGUAGAGACACAUGGAGUGCGUAUGGACUCCAAAUGUACACACAAACACCGCUUUCCACGGCUUCUCCUUGGAGCCUCUGUUAGGUCUCAGUUUUUCAGCUGGGCAUGCAAGACCAGGUCCCCAGCAGGGAUGCAGACAGAGCUGGUGUCCCUGGGGAAAAGUGUCCCCCUCCUCACAUCAUUUUCAUGUGUCACCCUGGGGUCAGUUUCCAGCUGGUAGCCUGGCAGAACCUUCCGGGCCAGUUGCUUACAGACUGGAUUCGAACUGCCCCUUAGGUAACUGAGAGACUGGUGUCUGCUUGCAGGAUGGGCCUGCGCCUCAUGUUUGUUUCAUGCUCUGUUUCAGCACGUUGAACACAGGUCAGGCUGGUGGGAAGUUAGUGCCCACCUGUCUACCCAGUUGUGAUGCUGCCAUGUUCGCUCCCAUGGGGUCAGAAGGAAUGAGGUCAGGGCUUGGAUCCAAGGCUUGUGCAGCUUGCAGAGUUCUUCCUGUUUGCUGCACCCAGAGUGUUCUCUAGGUGUAGCAUUGACUAGAUAUAGAUUUUCUGUCGGGGAAAGGAUGUCUAGCCUGCUGUUUCCUGAAACAAGAGUGUUGCAUUUUUAUGUCCUCUUUCCCUGUUUCCGGCAUCCUUGGCAGUAUUCUUAUGGCCAGUGCUUAGUUACAGCAGCAGGACUUGGCUAGGCUGUCAGAGACCAAGGCCUUUUUUGGAAAUGCUGUGUCCCUCUGCCUGCUUGCUGCCGCUUCUUUCUCUUCUUUCUCUCUCUUUUUCUGUUUCCCUUUCUUUUUCUUUCUCCAGUGCUUUCUUCAGUCAGAUGUGGAAAAUCACUUGAAUGUUGUGCUUUCUAUUAAGAUUAUCUUCCAAGAGAAAUUUGAGAAUUGACACUGGUAAAAUAGGUAAUCUCAGGACUUCAGAUGGUCUUGUCAUUUAUUUGAAUUAAGGUACUUAAACAUUUUGAUGCAGCUAUUGUCUGGAUUCUGAUAACUUAAGUCAUACAGUAAACAUUCAUGUAACUAAGGAUGUGAAACUGUCAUGAACUAAAUGUCAGAUUUGUCUGUGUCUUUAAAAUUGUCCCCAAGAAGGUGUGUUAUUCCUUAAGAAGUAGAUUUAACUAAAACAGAAGCGUAGGAAUUAUAGCAAAGUAAAUUUCAGUCUCACAAAACCUUGAAACGAGAUAAUCUGCAUUAUCUGAACAGUUUUAAGUUAACCAGACAUUCCCUUUUGGGGAAAACGACUUCUGCUUGAAACCUUCAGCUGCUUUUAAAGUAUAUAUUUCUUGUGUAAUGUGCCAUGGAAAAACUGAUCAGAUAAUAGAUUUUGUGAGUACCAGCUUUGUGGUAGCAUUUGGACAGCAGUAUUGACAAAGCCCAUUUCAUGAACUACCAAAGCAAAGACAGCAGUUUAUUUCUUAGAGGAAUUUUGUGUAGAUUUUCUUGGCUUUUAAAACUGGUAACUACAGGGGCUUCUCUGGCAGUCCAGUGAUUAAUACUGCGUGCCUCCAGUGUAGGGGUGCAGAGUCAAUCCCUGGUCGGGGCGCUAAUAGCCCACAUGCUGCGUGAUGCAGCCAAAAAGUAAAAACUUAAAAAAAAAGAAAAGGAUCAAAUGCACAUUCACUCUUGAACUAUAAGAAAAGUUUGUAAUUCCUUGUUAAUAAUGGUGAUUUUAAUUUAUUUCACCUUAUGUGGUCUUUUAGAUCUCUUAAGGCUUUUUUAGAGUUAGCGCUGUAAGUUUUCAGAAGGAUUAAUCCCACUUGGAAAAUUGAGUGCAUUUAAUUUGCACUGAAUGUAGGUUUCAGUUGUGAGGCUGAGAGAUGCUCAAGAAAUCCAGCAGGGCCCUGUGUGAGUUAAGUCAUGUUGGUAAUGAAAACAUUGAGAGCUCAGAGCUGUCCGGUGGAUGUUCACACUGCUGGAACAUGACAGGCAGGCCAGAUCUACUGUGAACAUUUCCCUCUUCUUGCAGUUUUUUAAAAAAGUAUUUCUUUGUUUGGCUGCGCCAGGUCUUAGCUGCAGCCCUCGGAAUCUGUAGCUGUGGCAUGUGGGAUCCUCCUCCCUGACCAGGGCUUGAACCCAGGCAGUUUUGUCAAAACAUCACCCAUCUAGUGUAGUUGGUGGCCUCUACCUUUGCAUUCUUGUUAAAGCUAAGAUGGCUGCUGGAUUUUGGUGUAAUAGUUGAUUUCCCAUCAGGAGCUUGAUAAGCUUUUGGCGUUUAUGUUAAUGGCUGGAUUCCUUUACCUGGCGAGUGUCAGAAAGUUGGAAGCCUGAGUGAAACCCCAUCAAACUCCAUUAGUGGUACUAACACUGAGGAGUGCUGGUUACCAACUCUCUGUGUUGAAUAAGUCCCAGGCACUUGACAUCUCGUCCAGUCCUCCCAGUUAAUCCUGUGAGCAGGGUAUUCUGAUGCCUGUUUUGCUGAUAAGGGAAUGAGGCUUGGGGUACAGUAACUGGUGUAGGAUCCCCAGGGUGACAAGCAGUGGGGUCUGGCUAGGCAUGCGGGCUGCCAUGCCUCUGCCCCUUGGUGGGGCUUACCUGAGUCUUUGAGGUGCUGGUGGUAGCAGACCAAGCCUGACACAGCCGCUUAGCAGUGGGGCCUGCUGGUGGAGACUGGGUUUCGUCAUUCUGUAGGUUGUUGCCUGGAUCCUGCCCCUUAAGUUUGGGUCCUAGUCAGAUUGUGGUUUAGGGACAUGUUCUUCCGACCUUGAGCAAUGACCUUCUCUGGAGCAGGAAAGCCGAGGAAGCAUCUAGUCCAGGGUGGUGGGGAUGGUAAUGGUAAGCCAAGCCGUAUCUCUGUAAUCUCUCCCAGUCAAAACAGGUAGCUUGGGAAAGGCACCGGGGCCCACGCCAGCCAUAAGGAGCGGCACAGGAAGACCACCCAUUAACACACCCAGGUGGGAGCCUUGCCCUGUCAAGGCGGGCGCAGCAUCCAAGUUGUACCAUUGCCAGCCUCUGUUGCCUGUACCCACCCCCCAGCAUGCCCCCACUCCGGUCUCCAGGCUGUUCCAGAAUAAACCUUCCCCUCCAAGGCCUGUCUGUCCCCUGAACUUAGGUCCCAGGAGCGCAAGCUGCCAGGGAGAAUCUGAUGUCAUUGCCCCGGGGACUGGGAUGGGGCUGGUGGGAACAUGACCUGACUGCUCCUCAGCAGUACCUCCUUUCACUCCUGAUGGGAUUAGCUGAAGUGGACCCUGGGAACACAGGGCACAGGAGUUCUCCUGUUAGAGUGUAACUCCUGUCGUUUUUUUAAAGGCCCAUCUCUAUCAGGCUGAGAUACCUGCUAGGGGUUGAGUGAGAGGGCCCUUUGGAAGGCAGUUUUGAGUGGCAGCUCUCAACUGCAGACAAAACCUGAUUUCAGGGUAUUUUAAGGAAAACCUUUCAAAUGAUAGAACUGUGUUAUCUGUGUUUCUAACGCAAGUACAUGAGGUACAUUGAAAGUUUUUGAAGUGUGGAUUUUGAAUUUUCAUUUGAUACAUUCUAGAACCAGAAGUCAGCUCAUCAACCUCAGAGUAUAAGUUAAUUCCUAAUUUAGAUUUUUUUUUCUCAACAUAUUCUGUUUCUGAAUGUUUUUUAGUUUUGUUUUGUCUUUUGUCUGGAUCUACCAGUGUAUAUAUGGAGGAGGAAAUGGCAACCCACUCCAGUGUUCUUGCCUGGAGAAUCCCAUGGACAGAGGAGCCUGUUGGGCUGCCGUCUAUGGGGUCGCACAGAGUCGGACACGACUGAAGCGACUUAGCAGCAGCACCAGUGUAUAUAUUUAGAAUGACCAAAACAGCUACAUCAAAUUUAAAAGCAUUUUCAAGUGAUCCUUUAAAAUUGUGUUUUCACAUUGAGUGUAAUUGGUGGUGUUCUACGUGGCUGUGGAAGGUAAGGACCAAGACCAUUGACCUGGAUGAAUAACCAAAGAGCCCUAAAAAGUAAGGCAGACAGGUAGAAAGGUAUUCGUAGACUUUGUAUUUACUAUUUUAUAUGAAUAGAUUGAAAGUCUGAAACUUCAGAUCAGGGAUUGCAGACAGCCUUGUGAGGGGCAGACACGUAUAUGUAUGAGUGGUCUAAGAGGACAGAGGGUAUACCGGGGGAGGAUCACAGCAGGGCCUGCGCACCCCACCCCCGCUGGUCAUUGACUCGUGGGACUGAGCCUGGAGUCUUCCUGCUUUCCCAGAGAACCCGAGAUCCCUGUUCUGUGUGAAAUCCCCCAAGUUUUAAAUACCAGGACCAAAUUCAGACUGUGAGACAGAUGACAUCUGCUUCCAUUCUGUGACCUUCCUUUAUGUUCUUGAGGAUACAAGAAUGUACAGGAAGAUAAUUAAACUUAAUGUUUAAUAAGACAGGAGGAAAGGAAGACAUUAUAGUUUACAGUGAAUAGUUGAAAGGAACAGUACCUAUUUCAACUAGGAGGAGGAGCCCUCCAUAUCAACUGGUUUUAGUUAUUUAAGAAAGUUCUGGGUUUGUGUGUGUGUCUGUGUAUUAAAAAUUAACAUCAGUUUUUGUUUUCAUCACGACUCUGAGCUCUUUAGAUAGCUUAUUCAUCUAAGGUGAGGAACGCUGUCUAAUUCAAAACAGAAUUAGGAAGCUUUGACAAAGCACAGAGAUUUUUUUCUUGUUUCUUUUGUUUUUUGCAUGUCUGUGACACCUUAAAUCUGAAGGGUGCUCUUUGGUCAUAGCGUAUGGUAGAAUCUUGGUAGUAAAAGCUUUGGUACCACCCAGGGUUUCACUGUUUGACUGAUUGUUUCUUCUUCUGUGCCUUGUACUGAGGCAUCUGCCAUCAGCUGGGAACUGAUCUCUGCCUGUCCUUUCUUUGGAUUUGUGUAAGGUUGCUAGACCUUUUUAAAUUAGAAACUUCAUUUGUAAAUAUUUUGAGGGAUGGGACUUUUUUUUUUUUUUUUGGUAGAUAUUUUGCUGCUUUGGGCAGUUUUCUCCCCCCAGAGCUUAACCAGCAUGUAUCAACAAGACGGCGUUCUUAAGCAUCUGACCCACAGCGCUAACCAUGCAGCCACCCUCCACGUGAAAACUACAUUCCUUUUCAGAAGAACAGAAGAGGAUUCUUGGAGUUUCACUGCCAAACAACGUGGCUCACCCUUGAGGCUUAGGAAGCUCCCAUCAGCGGUCUCAAACCCCUGCUUCGGGAAUGUCCAGCCAUCUUGUGACUGUGUGGAGGCUCAGGCUGGCCCUGACUGGGGAGCUGGGGUCUCCUGACUACAUUUCAAAGAAGGUUGCAGACGGGGGCAGAGGAAUGAAAUUCUCCAUCCUCUUCCUAAGAGCCCAAGGAUUUAGUGCAUCAGAUCUAAAGCUUUCCAGGGCGCUUUCUGGGUAUCCCUGGAUCUGAAAUGGGCAUUUCAUAUGGAGAAUGCAUAUAGCUUUCAUGGUAAAAAAAAAAAAUCCGUUAGAAAAAAAAUCAGAAUUGUUACGGGUAUAAAUGUACGGUAUGUCAUAUGUUUGACAUAAAACCCUUGUCAACCAAAGUGCCAAACGAGGUCAUCUCUCUGGGUGUGUAUGUAUGCGUGUACACACAAAGUAACAGGUGUGAUCUCAUUGCCAAUAAAACAUCUGAACACCUCCCUGA